rnacentral:rRNA from 1 species
CCCGCUGAACUUAAGCAUAUCAAUAAGCGGAGGAAAAGAAACCAACAGGGAUUGCCUUAGUAACGGCGAGUGAAGCGGCAAAAGCUCAAAUUUGAAAUCUGUCACCAUUGGUGUCCGAGUUGUACUUUGGAGAGGCAUCUUCUGGAGGGGCCCAGCCUAUGUGCCUUGGAACAGGACGUCAUAGAGGGUGAGAAUCCCGUCCUUGGUUGGAUGUUCCCUCCUGUAUGUAGUGUCUUCUACGAGUCGAGUUGUUUGGGAAUGCAGCUCAAAGUGGGUGGUAAAUUUCAUCUAAAGCUAAAUAUUGGCGAGAGACCGAUAGCGCACAAGUAGAGUGAUCGAAAGAUGAAAAGCACUUUGAAAAUAGAGUCAAACAGUACGUGAAAUUGUUGAAAGGGAAGCGCUUGAGAUCAGAGUCAGCCUUUGGCAAACAACUACUCCUUCUGGAUGGUGCACUUGUCAUUGGUUGGGCCAGCAUCGGUUGGGACGGCAGGAUAAAGGCCCAGGGAAUGUGACUCCUUUAUGGAGUGUUAUAGCCCCAGGCGGCAUACUGUCUGCCCCGACCGUGGACCGCGUCUUGGCUCGGAUGCUGGCUUAAUGGUCUUCAGCGACCCGUCUUGAAACACGG